CUUCGAUAUAUAUAUGGCACCUUGGUCGUUGCAGCAUUCUCUUGUAUUUUGAUAUCCUUACUGUUGAACCGGUAUGGGCCCUAGCCCAUCUGUACCUAUCUCUUAGGCCCAAGCCCAUGAGAAAUGUUGACCUAGAAGAGGAGCUCCUCCUCCUCUGUUCCGUGAGAGCCGCCACACACCAAGAAAGACACAACAGCAGCUGCUCCUGGUACGCUACUCCUCCAAGUUCAACAUGGUAUCAGAGCAGGCUGCAGCGGCAGCGGCGGCGCCGGUGGUGUAGUCCGGCGAGGAGGACCUGCCGGGGGCGAACGGCGGCGAGCUAGGCGCAGCGGCUGCGGCUGGUGGCGGAGUGCAGCGAGGCGGCGCGGCCGGCUCGGGAGAGGAGGUUGCUGUGCGCACGUGCUGCUGGAGCUGCUGCGUGCUGGAGGUGCUGCUGCUGCUGCGUGAGGCAGCGAGAGAGAGAUUGAGGGGAAGAGAGAAAAGGAAGGGCAGGUCACGCAUCUCACCUGACACGGCAGCAACGCUGUCAGGUCCACUGCGAGAAGCUGCAGUUUGUCUCCAAGUCCCCUUCUGCUCUCGGCUGUUGAUUGCUGCGGGUUGGUAAAGGAAGGAGAGGUGACGAACUGCUGCUGGUUGAGAAGAGGAGAAGAGGAGUGCUACUGCUGCUUGCAGGUGCUGAAAGUCCUGCUGUUUUUGGUCUGCUGCUGACUGAAAGGGAAAAUGGCGGAGGAAGCACUGGCGGCUGCAAUGGACAAGCUUGCGGACAUCAUGGCCGCGAAGAUGGUGGCUGCAGGUGAGAAGGCACCUGCUGAUGUGGGCUCGAGCGCUGCGCAGGCAGAGAUGGUGCAGAAGAUUGAGCUGGCUCCAAACGAGGUGAAGUUAGAAGGUGUAGAAAACUACCUGAGGUGGUCGAGGAGAGGUAAACUCAUCCUCAGAACUAAGUCACUGGAAGACUAUGCUCUUGGUGAGGUGAAGGAACCAGAAGACAAGAGGGGAGCUUCAUGGAAGAAAUGGAAUGCCACGGACAGUUUCGUGUUGAAUUGGCUGCUGAGUUCUCUAUCCCCUUCUGUUGCUGCUUCGGUGGAGGACCUCCCUACUGCUGCUGAGGUAUGGGCAGCGUUAGCUAGUAUGUACUUAGGGAAGGGAAAUGUCAUGUUGGUCUCCAAAAUUGAAGAAACUGUGCAUGAUCUCACUCAAGGUGAUAGGACUGUAAUGAUGUAUGUUGAAGAGCUGAAACAUCUUUGGGCUGAUUUAGACUAUCUUGCACCUAUUGUGUUGCCACAUGCUAAGUGUGCAGUGAUAGCUAGAAAGUGGGUUGAGGAUAGGCGUGUCCUCAAGUUUUUGAAGGGGCUGGACUCCAUGUUUGAGAAUAGAAGGGCUAUCUUAAUGCAACAAGCUGAGUUGCCGUCACUAAGAGAUGCCAUUGCUGCUAUAGCACAGGAGGAGACUAGACUGAAAGCUGUGGAGCGGUCAAAGGUGGCUUCCAGACCUGCUUAUCACAUAAUGAAUAGGCCUGAGACAAGAGACUGCCACAAUUGUGGGCUGAAAGGGCAUCUCAGUUACCAGUGCACAGCCCCACCGAAGAGAGACAACAAAGGCAGAGGAGGUUACAGAGGCAGCUACAGAGGAGAUGGCAGGGGAUACUAUCGUGGAAGCAACAACAGGGGCAGAAGUGCUCCAAGUAACUAUAACAACUACAAUCGCUACCAAGGGGAGGCCAGAGCGAAUGUAUCUGUCAUGAGUGAGGGUCAGUCCAGUUCUUCUCAUAGUCAAGACAUGAGAAAUGAGCAGCAGGGUCAAAACAAGAGGAACGAACAGCAAGCAGAGACAGUGUUUGGUGACUUUGCUCAUUUUGUGUACUCUGAUGAAGGUAAUGAAACUGCAUCUGUUGCUGUUCAUAGGGCUGGUGUAGGUUGGGUUUUAGACUCAGGGGCAUCGAAACAUGUAACCGGCAACGUUAGAGAGUUUGAAUGCUAUCAACAGUACCCCCAAUCGUACAAUGGAACUAUUCAAACUGCAGAUGGUACUGCACAACCUAUUAAGGGGGUUGGGGCAGUGCAAUGUACUCCAAGUAUUAAGUUGGAAUCAGUUUUGCAUGUUCCAGCUUUCCCAGUUAGUCUAGUGUCAUUGAGUGCUUUGAUUGAUCAGAUAGAUUGUGACGUAACUCUUAAUAAGUACCGCUGUUUGAUUCAGGAGAUGGGAACUGGGAGGAGGCUUGGGGCAGGAACCAGGCAUAGAGGACUAUGGUACAUGGAUCGCCAGGAGGAUGUGAAGACUGCUGGCAUGGCUCUUGCUGCGACUGCGACAGAGAAGGAAGCAUUAGCUAUGAUCCACCAUUGUAGGUUUGGACAUGUUUCUUUUGAGAAAAUGAAGAAAGCUUUCCCUGAUGUAAUGAAUGGUUUAGAUAAAACCAAGUUAAGGUGUGAGGCAUGUGAGUAUGCUAAACACACUCGGAUAUCGUAUGUGAGUAAGGGGCUCAGGAGUAUACUCCCAUUUGUGCUUGUUCAUUCAGAUGUUUGGACAUGUCCAUCAACCUCGAUAAAUGGAAUGAAAUAUUUUGUCACCUUCAUUGAUUGCAAUACUCGCAUGACAUGGAUGUAUCUAAUGCGACAUAAAGAUGAGGUGUUUGAGUGUUUCAAGGACUUUUGUGCGUAUGUUAAAACUCAAUUCAAGGUGCAGGUUCAAAUGAUAAGGACUGACAAUGGGACAGAAUAUGUCAACAGGAGGCUGGGAGAGUUCCUAUCAGACCAAGGUAUUCUGCAUCAGACAUCUUGCCCGGACACUCCUCCCCAAAAUGGCGUGGCAGAGCGGAAAAAUCGGCAUAUCCUUGAGGUGGCGCGCUCAAUCAUGUACACUAUGAAUGUGCCAAAGUGUCUAUGGGGUGAAGCCGUUCUGACUGCAACCUAUCUGAUCAAUCGCACACCAUCCAUGAUACUGGGUAUGAAAUCUCCUUGUGAACUCUUAUUAGGAGAGAAUAAAUUUAGUGUGCCACCAAAGGUGUUUGGAUGUACUUGUUUUGUCAGGGAUCAUAGACCUGCUGUGAACAAGCUGGAUCCUCGGGCGGUGAAGUGUAUCUUUAUUGGCUAUCCUUCUGGACAGAGAGGGUAUAAGUGCUGGAGUCCUUCUGAUAGGCGCACUUUCGUGAGCAUGGAUGUGACAUUCUGGGAAUCUAAUCCUUACUAUGGGGAAAAAACUGACUUGAGCUUGUUGUUUGAAUGUCUGGACCAGCCUGUGGUUGGUCCAGAGGGGGAGGUGGUGUUGCAACCUCAAGUAUCUGAAGCAAGAGGGAGAGAACAAGGAAGAUGUCAGGAAGAGGUGAUGCAGCAAGCAAGACCGCCAAUGGUGGGCACUAUACCCGUGUUGCCGUUGUCUAGUGGAGAAGGUGAAACAGAAACGCAUCAGGUUCAAGAGCAACCUGAGCAGCAGCAGGGCAUAGCACAGAAGCCACUUAAAGUCUACACCCGGCGAGCCAAGGCAAAUGAACCCCAGGGGGAGCAAGCAGGAAAUGAGAAUGUGAUGCAGGGGGAGUCACACAUAGAACAGGAGGACUCAUCCACGGAGAUGCCAAUUGCGUUGAGGAAGGGAACUAGGGCUGCGGCUGCCAAACCUGUCGAGAGAUAUGGGUUUGAGCAUAAUAUUGGGAAUUAUGUGAAUUAUGAUGCUCUGUCGGCAUCAUAUAAAGUGUUCAUUGCUUCUCUUCAAGCGAUGGUUAUUCCUUCAGAUUGGAGAAAUGCAAAGAAGGACCCUAAGUGGUGUGCUGCUAUGCGAGAAGAACUAGAAGCAUUGAGAAAACAGAGGACUUGGGAGUUAGCUGAGUUGCCAGCAGGAAAGAAAACAGUGGGCUGCAAAUGGGUUUAUUCUGUCAAACAGAAUCCUGAAGGCAAGAUUGAGAGAUACAAAGCCAGACUAGUUGCAAGAGGAUAUAGUCAAACCUAUGGGAUAGACUAUGACGAAACAUUUGCUCCAGUAGCAAAAAUGAACACUGUGAGGAUAUUAGUAUCAUGUGCAGCAAACUUUGGAUGGCCUUUGCAUCAGUUAGAUGUGAAAAAUGCUUUCUUGCAUGGAGAACUAAAAGAAGAAGUCUAUAUGGAAGUCCCCCCUGGAUUGGACUCAUCUAAAACUGAAGGCAAGGUGUGUAGAUUGAAAAGGUCUUUGUAUGGUCUGAAACAAUCACCGAGAGCUUGGUUCGAUAGAUUCCGAAGGGCUAUGUGUGAGAUGGGAUACAAACAAUGCAAUAAGGAUCACACUGUCUUCUACCGGCAUCAGAAUAGGAAGAUUGUCAUCCUUGCAGUCUAUGUAGAUGAUAUAAUCAUAACUGGAGAUGAUGGGACGGAGAUAGCAAGGUUAAAGGAGUGUCUUGGAAAGGCAUUUGAAGUGAAGGAUCUUGGUCAGAUGAAGUAUUUUCUGGGUAUUGAGAUUGCAAGAUCUGCCAAAGGGAUAGCCUUGUCCCAACGCAAGUACACCUUGGAUCUCCUCAGUGAUAUGGGAAUGUUAGAGUGUCGAGCUGCUACUACCCCAAUUGACCAAAACCAUAAGGUAACAGCACAAUCAGGAGAUCUAGUGGAUAAGGAGAAAUACCAAAGACUGGUAGGGCGUUUACUAUACUUGUGUCACACAAGGCCAGACAUUGCCUAUGCUGUGAGCAUAGUGAGUAGGUAUAUGCAUGAGCCCAGAAGUGGACAUGUGGAGGCAGCACACAGAAUUCUGAAGUAUUUGAAGGGAACACCAGGAAGAGGACUGUGGUUCGAAGGGAAUGGCCACUUGGUAGUUGAUGGGUAUAGUGAUGCAGACUGGGCAAGUUGCCUGGAUGAUCGUCGAUCAACAUCUGGGUAUUGUGUGUUUGUGGGAGGUAACUUAGUUUCAUGGAGAAGCAAGAAGCAGCCAGUUGUAUCAAAAUCAACAGCAGAAGCAGAAUAUAGAGCCAUGUCUCAGGGGUUAAGUGAGAUGUUGUGGGUGAGAAACCUUCUAAGUGAAUUGAAAUUGCUAAGAGAAGGACCUCUGAAUGUCUGGUGUGACAACAUCUCUGCUAUAUGCAUAGCUAACAACCCAGUGCAACAUGACAGAACUAAGCAUGUAGAGAUUGAUCGAUUCUUCAUCAAAGAGAAGCUUGAUGUUGGGAUUAUAAAGAUUGAGUAUGUGCACACAGGCCAACAGAUAGCAGACUGCUUGACAAAAGGUUUGGCAGCAAAGGAAUGCAACCUAGCUUGCAACAAGAUGGGAAUGAUAGAUAUCUACCACCCAUCUUGAGGGGGAGUGUUGAACCGGUAUGGGCCCUAGCCCAUCUGUACCUAUCUCUUAGGCCCAAGCCCAUGAGAAAUGUUGACCUAGAAGAGGAGCUCCUCCUCCUCUGUUCCGUGAGAGCCGCCACACACCAAGAAAGACACAACAGCAGCUGCUCCUGGUACGCUACUCCUCCAAGUUCAACACUUACCAAUGCUUCUUGUUAUAAACCCAACAACAUAUCCAGUAGAACCAUCUGUCACAGUCACAACACACAUCCAUCUUUUCUUGAAAGCAAACAUACCAAGAAAUAUCUGCACUCUGGUAGCAUACAACUUCACCUCCUCGCAUCAGCAAAGCAUUAACGCUCUGAACUCAUGUUGAAACAUCACAACCGAAACUGAAGAAUAAUUGACUGCCAGAUCUGUCUGUCUUGUC
rnacentral:lncRNA from 1 species